rnacentral:lncRNA from 1 species
ACGUUUUUUAAUGAAGAGGAGGAUGGUUGUAGACUUUCACAUUCCUGCAAGAAGGCACUGCAGAGGCUAAGAAGACGCAUGGAAACUCUGAAAGAAACAUAAUUCAACUUGUAGGCCAGAUUUGAAAAGGAAAUAAAUCCCAAAGCUCAGAUGUCAGACACCGAGGCUGCCAGUACCUCUGGGUCGAUAGUCCAUGUGUUGGAUGAUGCACUGCCGUUGAUCAGAACAGACAGCGUAUACUUGACCAAAGCUAAGCUUGGAUACAAGACUGAUGACUCAAUAACCAGUAUUGACAACAGUGAAGAUGGUUGUGUCCCAGGGCCAUCAGAGGAAGGCAAUUUCUAUGAAGAAAAUCUGACCUGAGAGAUGUCAGCGAUUCGGGCCAAUGACCAAGGGAAAGCUGGGACAAAAGAGAGGCUCACACGGUGUAACGAUCGUCAAAAGGAGUAGACCAAGGUGCAGCGUGGUACGUGUUCAUCUUGAAUUUAUUUUAAUUUAGAACACUUCAACAAAAGAACAAACAAUGACAAACGACCAUCACGUCUUGCAGGCUAUAACGAGCAGUACAAAAAUAAGAUCCCACAACUACAGGUGGGGAAAGGCUGCUUAAGUAUGGCUCCCAAUCAGAGACAACGAUAGACAGCUGCCUCUGAUUAGGAACCAUACUCUGCUCAACACAAAGAAAUGGACACCAUAGAAUGCCCACCCCACACCUUGACCUAACCACAUAGAGAAUCAAACCGUCUCUCUCAGGUCAGGGUGUGACAAAAGGUGCCAAAGGAACAAAAGGUAUUGGUCGACAAUAGAGGUGGAUGCCCUUGAAGAUUCCUUGAUGAAUUUUAUCCGAAUGGGAAAAACAAGACUGAGAAAUGCAUUGCUGCUUCUCCCCAAGCGCUAGUAAACAGGGACUGGAGAGCAGUAAAGUUCUAUGUACACAACAGAAUAGUUGCAGAUCAGAGAAAAUAAGUGUAUGAGAUGCUUCUGGCUAUCUUGGUGUACUUCUGAGGAUUUAGUGGGACUUACUUGACUUAAACUCAUAGGCAUAUGACGAAUGUCCUCUAUCUCACUGUUACGAUCGUCAAAAGGAGUGGAUCAAAACGCA